UACGUAGGGUGCGAGCGUUGUCCGGAAUUAUUGGGCGUAAAGAGCUCGUAGGCGGUCUGUUGCGUCCGCUGUGAAAACCCAGGGCUUAACCCUGGGCUUGCAGUGGAUACGGGCAGACUAGAGGCAGGUAGGGGAGAAUGGAAUUCCCGGUGUAGCGGUGAAAUGCGCAGAUAUCGGGAGGAACACCGGUGGCGAAGGCGGUUCUCUGGGCCUGACCUGACGCUGAGGAGCGAAAGCGUGGGGAGCGAACAGG
rnacentral:rRNA from 1 species